rnacentral:rRNA from 1 species
UAAUAAUAACAUAAAAACAAUUAAAUAGCCGCGGUAACUCUGACCGUGAUAAAGUAGCAUAAUCACUCGUCAUUUAAUUGGUGACUGGAAUGAACGGUUAAACGAAUCUCUAACUGUCUCGAGGAGAGAGUUCAAUUAAUUUGAAGAAACAGUGAAGAUGCUGUUAGAUAAUUGUAAGACGAAAAGACCCUUUCGAGCUUUACUAUAAACUUAUAUUUUCGGUAAAUAAUAAUAAUCUAUUUACAUAAUUUUUGUAAGUUUGUUAGUUUGGUUGGGGCGACCACCUCUAAAAUAGUAUCAGAGGAAAUCUAAAGGUUUCUAUAGUAAUAUGAUUUGCCUUACUGUAUACAAACAAGUUAAUCAGUUACAUUUAUGUAGGAUAUAAUGACCCGUUAAUUAAAUUUUAAAACUUAACGACCAUGAAAAAAGUUACCGUAGGGAUAACAGGGUAAUAUUUUCGAAGAGUUCAUAUCGAUGAAAAUGUUUGCCACCUCGAUGUUGAAUUGUGAUAUCCUAAAGGUGUAGCAGCUUUUGAGGGUUGGUCUGUUCGACCAUUAAAAUCAUACGUGAUCUGAGUU